UUGCUCUAUAAAAAGGGAGCGUUGUCUGCUUGCCAUUUAGAGAGACAAAAGAUGGCAUUUGGAGUUCGCUUGUGUUUGUGUCUCUUGCUUGUCUUUGCUGUAAUAUCUUCUGCUCGCAACACCAUUUCAUUCUCAGACAAUGAAAUGGCCCUUGCUGUAAAGGGGAGGUCCUUGAAGAUGACACUGAACGAUUACGGUGAACCAAUGGCAAACCGUGGGCACGAUCCUUCACAAAGAAACAAGAACCGGGAUGGCCGUAAAGGCUGAGAGAUUCCAUGGUGUCUUCUUUACUCAGUAUUUUGGAUUCUAACCUAAAUAUAUAAUGAACGGAAUAAAUAACACAGGCUCACGUUUUGUAUUGCAAGGGAGCUGACUCUACCUCUGCCAUAUUAAUAUGUAUUCUCUAAGGCUUUUCUUCCUCGUUUAAUUGUCAUCUUUCUUAUUUUCAAGAUGUUGUCUCGUGUUAAGUAGCUUCAGUGUGAUCAAACAUUAUUUUGAA